GGAAUUGACGGGGGCCCGCACAAGCGGUGGAGCAUGUGGUUUAAUUCGAUGAUACGCGAGGAACCUUACCUGGGCUCAAAUGUAUGUUGACGUAUUCUGAAAGGGAUACUUCUUCGGACAAUAUACAAGGUGCUGCAUGGUUGUCGUCAGCUCGUGCCGUGAGGUGUCGGGUUAAGUCCCAUAACGAGCGCAACCCCUAUCAUUAGUUGCCAUCAGGUCAAGCUGGGGACUCUAAUGAAACUGCCUACGCAAGUAGUGAGGAAGGUGGGGACGACGUCAAGUCAUCAUGGCCCUUAUGUCCUGGGCUACACACGUGCUACAAUGGCCGGUACAGAGCGCAGCGAGGCCGCGAGGCGGAGCGAAUCGCUUAAAGCCGGUCCCAGUACGGAUUGGAGUCUGCAACCCGACUCCAUGAAGUUGGAAUCGCUAGUAAUCGCGCAUCAGCAUGGCGCGGUGAAUACGUUCCCGGGCCUU
rnacentral:rRNA from 1 species